GUCUGACUUAGCUCAGUUGAUUGGAGCAUGGUGCUAAUAACAUCAAGGCUGCAGGUUCGAUCCCCACAUGGGACA